rnacentral:rRNA from 1 species
GACGUAGGGCGCGGAGCGUUGUCCGGAUUUAUUGGGCGUAAAGAGCUCGUAGGCGGCUUGUCGCGUCGACUGUGAAAUCCCGCGGCUCAACUGCGGGUCUGCAGUCGAUACGGGCAGGCUAGGAGUUCGGUAGGGGAGACUGGAAUUCCUGGUGUAGCGGUGAAAUGCGCAGAUAUCAGGAGGAACACCGGUGGCGAAGGCGGGUCUCUGGGCCGAUACUGACGCUGAGGAGCGAAAGCCGUGGGGAGCGAACAGG